ACUUUUUGCGCGCCACUUUUUGCUGCACUGCCGAGUCCAUCUUGUUACCAUCUGUUGCCACAGCAACCGCAGAGUGUGGCUCACACUCUAGUAAGAGGAACGAUGAUUGGAGGAGGCGGGCGUCCCUAGCAACCGCCAGACCUUCGUUAGCUUCUUUUCGCCCUGUGGGCUCCAUCAACACAGACUGCAUUAUUUCCAUCCCUGCACUUAAAAUAGUAACCGGUCUGAGACGAACACCGCAUAAAUACUUGUUGGCUGCAUGAAGUGGCACACCGCAAUACCAGGAACCAGGGAUCUGUUCUCCCCAGUUGCACUCCUCCACCCCUGAGGUCAUUCCUUCACUGUCAUUGGAGACUACUUCUUCAGGAUUCCAGCUCAUCCUGACGACCAGCCGGGAUAUCCAACCUUGUGGACUGAACAACUACUGGAUUCUUAGACUUCCAAUCAGUAGAAAGCCAUUACCAGACUAGCUGGACCAUAGUCUGUAAAGAGUACAGUGGGAAGGAUACAGUUUUAUCCUUAAGCAGACUCCUACUAAAAGAACAGCAUACUUGGAUUGGACACAGCACAGGAGACAGCACUUUAUUAUUUCUAAGGUGUUAAUAUAUAAAUGAGCCAGUGCACAGUGAAGUCUACAGACUGCGCCAUCUUCAGACUAGAAAGUGUUAAGCAAGCCAGAGGGGCCUCCAUCCCACAAAGCCUACUAAAGCAGAAGAGGGAUCCGUAGAGAACUUUGGAGAUCCAGUGAGUGGCAGACCCCGUGUCAAGAAGAUAAAGUGGAGAGGAAUUGAACAUGUUGCUGCGUAGAAGACCAGAGGAGGAUGUCUGGUGAUGUGGGAAGAGGUGUAUUAUUAUAUAUGCAGGUAGGUGUGUACAAGUGUGUGUAUUCAGGUAGGUAUGUGCUAGUGUGUAUGCAGGUAGGUGGGAACUAGUGUGUGUGCAGGUAGGUGCAUAUAA